GCUCGAGUGGCGAACGGGUGAGUAACACGUGGGUGAUCUGCCCUGCACUUUGGGAUAAGCCUGGGAAACUGGGUCUAAUACCGAAUACACCCUGCUGGUCGCAUGGCCUGGUGGGGGAAAGCGUUUGUAGCGGUGUGGGAUGAGCCCGCGGCCUAUCAGCUUGUUGGUGGGGUGAUGGCCUACCAAGGCGACGACGGGUAGCCGGCCUGAGAGGGUGACCGGCCACACUGGGACUGAGAUACGGCCCAGACUCCUACGGGAGGCAGCAGUGGGGAAUAUUGCACAAUGGGCGCAAGCCUGAUGCAGCGACGCCGCGUGAGGGAUGACGGCCUUCGGGUUGUAAACCUCUUUCAGUGCCGACGAAGCGGAAGUGACGGUAGGCACAGAAGAAGGACCGGCCAACUACGUGCCAGCAGCCGCGGUAAUACGUAGGGUCCGAGCGUUGUCCGGAAUUACUG
rnacentral:rRNA from 1 species